rnacentral:rRNA from 1 species
CCUACGGGGGGCAGCAGUGAGGAAUAUUGGUCAAUGGACGAGAGUCUGAACCAGCCAAGUAGCGUGAAGGAUGACUGCCCUCUGGGUUGUAAACUUCUUUUAUAUGGGAAUAAAAUGUUCCACGUGUGGGAUUUUGUAUGUACAAUAUGAAUAAGGAUAGGCUAACUCAGUUCCAGCAGCCGCGGUAAUACGGAGGAUCCGAGCGUUAUCCGGAUUUAUUGGGUUUAAAGGGAGCGUAGGUGGAUUGUUAAGUCAGUUGUGAAAGUUUGCGGCUCAACCGUAAAAUUGCAGUUGAAACUGGGUGGCUAGAGUACAGUAGAGGUGGGCGGAAUUCGUGGUGUAGCGGUGAAAUGCUUAGAUAUCACGAAGAACUCCGAUUGCGAAGGCAGUUCACUGGACUGCAACUGACACUGAGGCUCGAAAGUGUGGGGAUCAAACAGGAUUAGAUACCCGGGUAGUC